CCACAAAAGGCAUUGGAAUCAAUUGGAAAAACUUUGAGCUGUCAGUAUGAAAGAUGGCAACCAAAGGCCCGCUAUAAAUGUCAACUUGAUCCAACAGUGGAUGAGGUGAAGAAGCUUUGUACUACAUGUCGUAGAUAUGCAAAGUCGGAAAGAGUUUUAUUCCAUUACAAUGG